rnacentral:rRNA from 1 species
GAUCAUGGCUCAGGACGAACGCUGGCGGCGUGCCUAACACAUGCAAGUCGAACGGACGAGAGGAGCUUGCUCCUCAAGUUAGUGGCGGACGGGUGAGUAACACGUGAGCAACCUGCCCUUCGGAGGGGGACAACAGCUGGAAACGGCUGCUAAUACCGCAUGACACAGCGGGGAGGCAUCUCCCUGCUGUCAAAGAUUUUAUCGCCGAAGGAUGGGCUCGCGUCUGAUUAGAUAGUUGGUGAGGUAACGGCCCACCAAGUCAACGAUCAGUAGCCGGACUGAGAGGUUGAACGGCCACAUUGGGACUGAGAUACGGCCCAGACUCCUACGGGAGGCAGCAGUGGGGAAUAUUGGGCAAUGGGGGGCAACCCUGACCCAGCAACGCCGCGUGAAGGAAGAAGGCUUUCGGGUUGUAAACUUCUUUGACGAGGGACGAUAGUGACGGUACCUCGAAAACAAGCCACGGCUAACUACGUGCCAGCAGCGGC